UACGUAGGGUGCGGGCGUAAUCGGAAUUACUGGGCGUAAAGCGUGCGCAGGCGGUUCGUUAAGUUCGUUGUGAAAGCCCCGGGCUCAACCUGGGAACUGCAAUGGAAACUGGCGGGCUUGAGUGUGGCAGAGGGGGGUGGAAUUCCGCGUGUAGCAGUGGAAAUGCGUAGAGAUGCGGAGGAACACCGAUGGCGAAGGCAGCCCCCUGGGCCAACACUGACACUCAGGCACGAAAGCGUGGGGAGCAAACAGG
rnacentral:rRNA from 1 species